CCUAAACCCCCAACCAUCUCCUCCCCUCCCUGCUGGUAUCUCACUUGGCUAGCUCGCCUGAUCUUCAUUUUUGGUGCCCAAAAUCAAUCUUUUUCGCAAUUCUAAACCUAGAAUCUCUUUCUUCUGUUUUGAAAACCAAAACCCACAGGCUCUUUCUCUAUCCACCAACAAAAUGAGGAAGCCAAAGUCCAAGUCUAGAGAGCUGCGCAAGCAGCGUAGAUUUGCGGAACAGGAAGAAAUUUCGUUACUGAAUGAAUGGAUUGAGUUCCAAAAACCCGACUCUGGCUCCAAUCCUUUGUCUCUUCCACCUCUGCCAUCUAAUGCACCCGUCGGCCGCCUCUCAGACGGCACCUUCUCGCGGUAUGCUGGGUCCACCAAGUUCAGCGAAUUGCCUAUAUCGAAGAAAACGAUGGAUGGGUUGAAGAAAUCGGAUUACGUUUCUAUGACUGAGAUACAGAGAGCGUCUUUGCCGCACGCUCUUUGUGGGAGAGAUAUUCUGGGUGCUGCCAAAACUGGGUCUGGGAAGACCCUAGCUUUUGUUAUACCUGUUCUAGAGAAGUUACAUAGAGAAAGAUGGGGACAUGAAGAUGGGGUGGGCUGCAUUAUAAUAUCUCCCACAAGGGAGUUAGCGGGUCAGCUUUUUGAUGUAUUGAAAGCUGUUGGGAGGUAUCAUAACUUAAGCGCUGGCCUCCUAAUUGGUGGGCGCAAGGACGUUGACACUGAAAAAGAGCGGAUUAAUGAGCUUAAUAUUUUGGUUUGCACUCCUGGACGGCUUCUUCAGCACAUGGAUGAGACUCUAAACUUUGAUUGUUCUCAACUUCAGGUUUUAGUCCUUGAUGAGGCAGAUCGUAUUCUUGAUGUUGGCUUUAAGAAGACUUUGAAUGCAAUUAUUUCACAGCUACCUAAGCAUAGACAAACCUUGCUUUUCUCUGCAACUCAAACAAAAUCUGUUCAGGAUCUUGCAAGACUCAGUUUAAAGGACCCAGAGUAUGUCGGUGUGCAUGAGAAGUCCACAACAUCAACUCCUGAUCGUUUGCAGCAAACUGCAAUGAUAGUUCCUCUUGAGCAAAAGCUGGACAUGUUAUGGAGUUUUAUAAAGGCACAUCUUAAUUCAAAGAUUCUUGUGUUUCUUUCAAGCUGCAAACAGGUGAAAUUUGUCUUUGAAGCAUUUAAGAAAUUGCGGCCUGGAAUUCCAUUGAAGUGUCUUCACGGAAAGAUGAAACAGGGAAAAAGGAUGGUAAUCUAUUCUCAGUUCUGUGAGAAGCGUUCAGUUCUCUUCUCAACUGAUGUGGCCUCAAGGGGUCUUGAUUUUAAUAAGGCAGUUGACUGGGUUGUCCAGGUGGAUUGUCCAGAAGAUGUUGCAUCCUACAUUCACAGAGUUGGUCGCACUGCUCGCUAUGCGUCUGUAGGGAGGUCAGUUUUGUUUCUGACGCCUUCAGAAAUGAAAAUGCUUGAAAAAUUACAAGAAGCAAAAGUACCUGUACAGUUUAUUAAGGCAAACAAUAAAAGACUGCAACCAGUUUCUGGGUUGUUGUCAGCUUUACUGGUUAAAGAUUCAGAUUUGCAGGACUUGGCUAAAAAGGCCUUUGUAACAUAUUUGCGGUCUAUCCAUAUUCAAAAGGAUAAAGAGGUGUUUGAUGUAAUGAAGCUGCCUAUCGAUGAAUUUUCUGCUUCGAUGGGUCUACCAAUGACACCAAAACUCCGAUUUCUGAAUCAGAAAAUUAAGGGAAAGAAGAUGUCAGGAAUUCAAUUGGAUAAUGCUGACAAGGACAUUGCCAACCUAGCAACUGGCGCUUUCAGGGAAGAUCUGGGAGGACCAAGAGGAAAGCUAGAUAUUGGUGACCAUGAGGAAGCAGAUGUGGAGAAAGGUUUUCUACUGUCGAAGGAUGCUGAACACGAGGGUGAAGCCAAAGCAAGCGAACUGGGGCCAAUCUUGUAUGAAACUUUUACAGUAUUUUUGAGAUAUGAGCCUCAGACAUGCUUAAAUGAAUUCAUAGAAAUGGGUUGAACUGCCAAGUUUUUUUACGUUCUGAUGAUUCUCCCCAUUAAUGUUUGAUGCAGUUGUGUGGUAUCCUAUAGGAAUAGUGUUUGAUACAAUUCUUUUCUAUUUCCUUUACUAUCUUUUUUAAUUUAAAUUGCUUCACAGGCCUGCAACACGGGUUCUAAAGAAAAAGAAGUUGAAGAUCAAUAUCCAUAGACCAGUGGGAACAAGGGUUGUCUUUGAUGAGGAGGGUAAUACACUUCCUCCACUUGCAAGGGUGGCUGAUGCAAAGAAUGUUGAUAAUUCAUCUUUACUUGAUCAAGGCAAAAGAGAAGAAUAUUAUGUGAAGAUGAGAGAGGAGUUGAAGCAAGCGGACAAGGAAGAUAAGGCGCAGGACCGACAGCGUCGCCGAGAGAAACGAAUUAAGGAGAAGAUGAAGUGGAAGAAACAAACUAUGGACAAAGAAGAAGAUGGAGACGAUGAGGAUGAUUCUGGGUCAGAAGGAGAGAGAAUGGGUGACAGGAAACGGAAGAGGUCAAAGAUAUAUUUUGAUAGUGACAGUGAUGAUGGCAAGACAAUAGAGGACAGAGAUAAACUAGUGAAAACCGAUUCCAUUUCUCUAUCAGAGCAAGAAGCUCUGGCUCUCAAGUUGUUAAGUUCAAUGCACUAGAGAUUCAAAUAGUUUCAGUUCUUUCAUGUUGCACUCUGCAUUUUUGGCUGGCUGGCAUUUUCUCCAGGAGAAGCAAAUGAUUUUCUUCUCUCCAUUCCAUAUCACGCUGCAGCUGCACCAUUUUGCGGUAGUUUUUGGCUCAGCAUCAAUGCUGAAGUUACAGCGUAUAUUGGUUUAUAUUGAUUGUGAUUAAUUAUUAUUAAUGAGAAACAUGUUCGAUAAACAAUAAAAUUGUAGUGUCUACAUUGUUCCAUGGGAGUGAAUCAAUCGGAUACUGAUCAAUAGAGGCUGCAAG
rnacentral:misc_RNA from 1 species